AAAAGGGGAGUUAUUGAUCAAGUUAGAAAACAAUAUUGCUACUCCCUUUUUUUUUUGAUCUGAUGCUUCAGCAAUAAUAGUGAACUUUUUAAAGUUCCAAUACUGGUUAUUUUGUUUAUUUUGCUUCUUCCAAUGGGUUUCCUGAAUGAAGGAGAUUUGAGCUUUUUCUUUAAGUAGAAGCUCUUUUAUUUAGGGAAUUGAGUCCUUGAACAUUAAUUGAUAUUAGUUUUA